rnacentral:rRNA from 1 species
CUACGGGAGGCAGCAGUGGGGAAUCUUGCGCAAUGGGCGAAAGCCUGACGCAGCGACGCCGCGUGGGUGAUGAAGGCCUUCGGGUUGUAAAGCCCUGUGGAAGGAGACGAAUAAGUCGCGGCUAACAUCCACGAUGAUGACGGUAUCCUUUUAGCAAGCACCGGCUAACUACGUGCCAGCAGCCGCGGUAAGACAGAGGGUGCAAACGUUGUUCGGAAUUACUGGGCGUAAAGCGAGUGUAGGCGGUUUGGAAAGUCGGAUGUGAAAGCCCCAGGCUCAACCUGGGAAGUGCAUUCGAUACUCUCAAGCUAGAGUACUGGAGAGGUUGGUGGAAUUCUCGGUGUAGAGGUGAAAUUCGUAGAUAUCGAGAGGAACACCGGUGGCGAAGGCGGCCAACUGGACAGAUACUGACGCUGAGACUCGAAAGCGUGGGGAGCAAACAGGAUUAGAAACCCUAGUAGUCC